UACAGAGGUCCCAAGCGUUGUUCGGAUUCACUGGGCGUAAAGGGUGCGUAGGUGGUGAGGUAAGUCGGAUGUGAAAGCUCCGAGCUCAACUCGGAAAUGGCACUGGAAACUACCUUGCUAGAGGGUUUGAGGGGGGACUGGAAUACUUGGUGUAGCAGUGAAAUGCGUAGAUAUCAAGUAGAACACCAAUGGCGAAAGCAGCUCUCUGGGACGGUACUGACGCUGAGGCACGAAAGUGUGGGGGAUCAAACAGG
rnacentral:rRNA from 1 species